GGAUGGGUAGGGGAGCGUCGUCUGCCGGGUGAAGCAGCCGUGUAAGCGAGUUGUGGACGGUUGACGAGUGAGAAUGCAGGCAUGAGUAGCGAUUCACACGUGAGAAACGUGUGCGCCGAUUGACUAAGGGUUCCUGGGUCAAGCUGAUCUGCCCAGGGUAAGUCGGGACCUAAGGCGAGGCCGACAGGCGUAGUCGAUGGAUAACCGGUUGAUAUUCCGGUACCCGCUGUGGAGCGUCAAACAUCGAAUCCAGUGAUGCUAAGCCCGUGAAGCCGCCGGCUGAGUCUUCGGACGAGGUCGGAGUGGUGGAGCCGGUGACCCGAGCUGGUAGUAGGUGAGUGAUGGGGUGACGCAGGAAGGUAGUCCAUCCCGGGCGGUGGUUGUCCCGGGGUAAGGGUGUAGGCCGGACGGUAGGUAAAUCCGCCGUUCAUUAAGGCUGAGACCUGAUGCCGAGCCGAUUGUGGUGAAGUGGAUGAUCCUAUGCUGUCGAGAAAAGCCUCUAGCGAGUUUCAUGGCGGCCCGUACCCUAAACCGACUCAGGUGGUCAGGUAGAGAAUACCGAGGCGUUCGGGUGAACUAUGGUUAAGGAACUCGGCAAAAUGCCCCCGUAACUUCGGGAGAAGGGGGGCCACAACCGGUGAUGGGCUUCGCGCUCUGAGCUGGGGGUGGCCGCAGAGACCAGCGAGAAGCGACUGUUUACUAAAAACACAGGUCCGUGCGAAGCCGUAAGGCGAUGUAUACGGACUGACGCCUGCCCGGUGCUGGAACGUUAAGGGGACCGGUUAGCUUGGAUUCGUCCAGGCGAAGCUGAGAACUUAAGCGCCAGUAAACGGCGGUGGUAACUAUAACCAUCCUAAGGUAGCGAAAUUCCUUGUCGGGUAAGUUCCGACCUGCACGAAUGGCGUAACGACUUCUCGACUGUCUCAACCAUAGGCCCGGUGAAAUUGCACUACGAGUAAAGAUGCUCGUUUCGCGCAGCAGGACGGAAAGACCCCGGGACCUUUACUACAGUUUGAUAUUGGUGUUCGGUUCGGCUUGUGUAGGAUAGCUGGGAGACUGUGAAGCGGCCACGCCAGUGGUUGUGGAGUCGUCGUUGAAAUACCAGUCUGGUCGUGCUGGAUGUCUAACCUGGGUCCGUGAUCCGGAUCAGGGACAGUGUCUGAUGGGUAGUUUAACUGGGGCGGUUGCCUCCUAAAGGGUAACGGAGGCGCCCAAAGGUUCCCUCAGCCUGGUUGGCAAUCAGGUGUUGAGUGUAAGUGCACAAGGGAGCUUGACUGUGAGACCGACGGGUCGAGCAGGGACGAAAGUCGGGACUAGUGAUCCGGCGGUGGCUUGUGGAAGCGCCGUCGCUCAACGGAUAAAAGGUACCCCGGGGAUAACAGGCUGAUCUUCCCCAAGAGUCCAUAUCGACGGGAUGGUUUGGCACCUCGAUGUCGGCUCGUCGCAUCCUGGGGCUGGAGUCGGUCCCAAGGGUUGGGCUGUUCGCCCAUUAAAGCGGUACGCGAGCUGGGUUUAGAACGUCGUGAGACAGUUCGGUCCCUAUCCGCUGUGCGCGUAGGAGUCUUGAGAAGGGCUGUCCCUAGUACGAGAGGACCGGGACGGACGAACCUCUGGUGUGCCAGUUGUUCUGCCAAGGGCAUGGCUGGUUGGCUACGUUCGGGAGGGAUAACCGCUGAAAGCAUCUAAGCGGGAAGCCUGCUUCGAGAUGAGGACUCCCACCCACUUGAUGGGGUAAGGCUCCCAGUAGACGACUGGGUUGAUAGGCCGGAUAUGGAAGCACGGUAACGUGUGGAGUUGACCGGUACUAAUAGGCCGAGGGCUUGUCCUC
rnacentral:rRNA from 1 species